CUCCGGGGCUGCCAAAGGCUGGCGCGCUGGCCGCGCUCCGCUCGGGCGAGCUGGCUGAGCGGGGCCGAGAGGUGAUCAAUACAAGUGGAAAGUGCUGCGGCGGCGGCGGCAGCGCUCGGUGCCAGGCGGCAUCUGGGCUCCAGACAGCCCCAGACAGCCGUGGUUCAGUUCACCAUGUAACUGGAUAUAAUUUAAUGGAGUUAAUUGGUCCCGGAAGCUGCCUGUAGAAGACUUUUACAUUCUAGCUCAACAAGAGAUAAUACUAAAAUGUACAAAUAGGAUAAGUAAGAAAGCACACCUUCAAGUUGAAGUGGUUGCACAUCUAAUAAAGGUAUUGCAGAGCAGUGGAGAAAGAAUGAGCUUUUCAAUAAAUGGUUUUGGGUCAACUGGCUGUCCAUAUGGAAAAAUGAAAUUGGAAUCCUGUUUCACAAAAGGAGAAGAAAGAAGUACCCUAUGGACUGUAGCCCACCAGGCUUCUCUGUCUACGGGAUUCUGCAAGCAAGAAUAGUGAAAUGAGUUGCUUACGUCCUCCUCCAGGGUAUCAUCCCAACCCAGGAAUAGAAACCAUGUCUCCUGCAGCUCCUGCAUUGUAGAUGGAUUCUUUACCCCUGAGCCACUGGAGAAAUGUACAGGAAUGUUCAUCAUAUACUGAAAAUAACGCCAAUGUCUGCCACCUGUAGAAUGGAUAAAAAAGGCUGUGGUACAUGCCUACAACGGAACAUUUUGCAGCACUGAAAAUGAAUACGCUACAGUUAAAAACAGCAACACGGAUCAUCAUGCAAUUGAUGUCGCAAGAAGGUCGUGUCUUCAUAUUUGGGCUCCUCCAAGUGGCUCAGCGGUAAAGAACCUGCCUGCAAUGCAGGAGUCGCAGGAGCCACGGGUUCGAUCCCUGGGUCGGGAAGAUCUCCUGGAGGAGGGCAUGGCUAUCCACUCCAGUAUUCUUGCCUGGAGAAUCCCAUGGACAGAGGAGCCUGGCGAGCUACCGUCCAUAGCGUCACAAAGAAUUGGAAACAACUGAAGUGAUUUAGCACACAUGCACUUCAUAUUUAUGAAAAAUGGUUACUAUCACUUUGGCAGACUGUCUUUUCCCAUGAAUAAUAUCAAUAAAACCCUCACGACAGAG